CUACGGGUUGCAGCAGUCGAGAAUAGUCUACAAUGGGGGAAACCCUGAUAGUGCGACGCCGCGUGGAUGAAGAAGCAUUUCGGUGCGUAAAGUCCUUUUCUUUGUGAGCAAUGUCUUGUAGGUUAACAGCCUGCAGGGAGAGAUAUUAGCAGAGGAAUAAGCUCGCGGCUAACUCCGUGCCAGCAGCCGCGGUAACACGGGGGGAGCGAGCGUUGUCCGGAAUUACUAGGCGUAAAGGGCAAGUAGGCGGAAUGGUCAGUCAGAUGUUAAAGGCACCGGCUCAACCGGUGUAAGGCAUUUGAUGCCAUUCUAGAGUAAGGUGGGGGAAGACAGAAUUCCUGGUGUAGCGGUGGAAUGCGCAGAUAUCAGGAAGAAUACCAGUGGCGAAGGCGGUCUUCUAUACCAUUACUGACGCUCAAUUGCGAAGGUGUGGGUAUCGAACAGGAUUAGAUACCCUUGUAGUC
rnacentral:rRNA from 1 species